rnacentral:rRNA from 1 species
UCGAACGGCAGCACAGCAGUAGCAAUACUGUGGGUGGCGAGUGGCGGACGGGUGAGUAAUGCAUCGGGAUCUACCCAAACGUGGGGGAUAACGUAGGGAAACUUACGCUAAUACCGCAUACGUCUUACGAGAGAAAGCAGGGGACCUUCGGGCCUUGCGCGGUUGGACGAACCGAUGUGCGAUUAGCUAGUUGGUAGGGUAAUGGCCUACCAAGGCGACGAUCGCUAGCUGGUCUGAGAGGAUGAUCAGCCACACUGGAACUGAGACACGGUCCAGACUCCUACGGGAGGCAGCAGUGGGGAAUAUUGGACAAUGGGCGCAAGCCUGAUCCAGCAAUGCCGCGUGUGUGAAGAAGGCCUUCGGGUUGUAAAGCACUUUUAUCAGGAGCGAAAUACUACCGGCUAAUAUCCGGUGGGGCUGACGGUACCUGAGGAAUAAGCACCGGCUAACUUCGUGCCAGCAGCCGCGGUAAUACGAAGGGUGCAAGCGUUAAUCGGAAUUACUGGGCGUAAAGCGUGCGUAGGCGGUUAUUUAAGUCUGUUGUGAAAUCCCCGGGCUCAACCUGGGAAUGGCAAUGGAUACUGGAUAGCUAGAGUGUGAUAGAGGAUGGUGGAAUUCCCGGUGUAGCGGUGAAAUGCGUACAGAUCGG